rnacentral:lncRNA from 1 species
UCCUUUCCCUCAGUUCUGCCAGGUAGGCUUUCCCUUUCCUGUGCCCCUCUCAUCCCCUUGGCCCAUCCCUGCCAGGUACCUCCUUGUGCCUAGUUCAUAGGUACCCUUAUUGUCAGUUCAUAGCACACCUCAAGGUGGGUUCGGGAGGAGUCUUUACUGGAUAGAACAAUGGUAAAUUACGUCCAGUGGUUCAUCAAACCUUUCUGGUAGUUCAUCAAAACUUUCUGUAGUUCUGCUUUAUUCAUCAUUCAUGGGUCUAAUAAUUUCUACUUCACUUGCUACUCCCAAGCUGGUCCUUGUUCCCGAUCUCACCCUUCUCAAGUGCUCUGACCCUUCAUCCAAGCCCCAGUGAUGAUGUGUUCAGGUAAGCAAUGACUAUUCCUCUGUAAUGCAGUCCAGUCUUUCUCUUGACAGUUGACCCUCCUACCAGUGUUUAACUCUGAAUAUUGUUUAUGGGGACACACAGUGAGCCACUAUGAAUUAAUUUUUUUCUUACAGACUAUUGAAUUUGGCAGUUUAAUUCUACACACAUAGUUGAAUGUGGAUAUAUCUGAUAUGGGAGAUGUUUUUAGGAGGACAAUGAAGAUGCAUACUGAAGCCAGCCCCCGUGGGUUCAUCUUUACAGCAUCUGAAACUAGGACAAGAGGUAAGACGUGUAAAUGUUUCUUCACUGGGAGAAUAUUUAUUGUUUUCAGUUUGCCCUCUAGCACUCAAAUAUUAGUUCAUAAAAUAGUUGUUGGAAAUGUUUAACUUAUUCAAUAUAUUGGUUAAAACUAUUUUUCCUCGUUCAGGCACUUUCAAGAGAAAGUGGGACUUUGGAAAAAGUCCACAACUGAGUGAGAAUGAAAGAUAUAUUUUUAACUUAAUCCAUUUAUUUUAACACAAAGUGGUAGGCACUUCUGUCUGAACCCCGGACCUUCUGCUCAAAAUAUCAGUUUGAGUACAAGAGUUCAUCCUCCUCUUUUACCUUCCACCCCCCCUUACUAAAUUCCAUUGAAAUAACAGGAAUAUUUCUUUAAAAAGUAAUUCAUAAUAACACUCUAAAACAGAAAAGGUGCCACCAAUGGGCGGACAUUUUUGACACAUUUCUGGAGAAAUCAGAGCAGAGAAAAUUACAGCCUGAUACACUAGAAGUUUUGUGGCCAGAGGAAAAAAGCAUAGCAGUUCAUUCCAAACUUCAAAAAAAGGAGAAAGAAAUGAAGAGGGGCAAAAGGGAAAGAGGGGAAAGAAAGGCAUAAGCAACCCCACUCAAGACUAAAAUACUACUAGAUUUAGGCAGAGGUGGUGAUUCCCCAGCCUGCAUCUCUAUUGCCCAUUAUUUAGCCUUGAAGAAAACUUGCUCAUCAAAAUGCCUUGUCCCAUCACACAAAGCAUAUGUGAGCCCAUCGUGUCAAAAGAAGGAUCCAUUAAGAAAAUAGAUUUAUUAAUCUUUGAAAAACCCUUUCCAGCCAUUUGUACUAAGCAACAAAGUCCUUUAUCCAAUAUGAUUUAAUCACCAAAGAUCUCCAAACAUUUAAAGGAAAUCCACAGCAUGAAAAAGGAGCACCAAGGUGAACAAACAGAACAGUUGGCCUUGGAGAAAGCAAAGAGAAUUCUGGUACCAGAAGUUAACUUCUUAAAAAGCCUAUUCCCUGAAAAACCCAAGAGGCUGCUGUGUUAAUAAAAACACAGUGCUUUUUUAGAAAGGAGCA